GAACUUUUUAGCUAUUUUCCGUUCAGUUGGUCACAUUGUUCGCCGGAGAUCGGACGAAUUUCUGCCGUCCGAUCUCAGUUCAGUUACAGAUCCGAAUCUCCAUUUCUUACAAGGCUGCUUGAGCUCAAAAUUAAACUGCUAUGGGAUCUGAUGGUCAAAAUUGGUAUUUGGGUUUAAGCUAUGACCAAUGGGUUCCUCUGUCUGUCGCUGGUCCGACACCAGCUGCUCGCUACAAGCAUGCAGCUGUCACAGUUGAUGGGAAAUUAUAUAUCAUCGGUGGAAGUCGUAAUGGACGAUACCUGUCUGACAUUCAGGUCUUUGAUCUAAAAAGUUUGACAUGGUCAACCAUAAAGUUGAAGUCUGGAGUUCUUCCAGCUACCUCUGGUCACAAUAUGAUCUUGUGGGAAAAUAAACUUCUAUUUCUUGCUGGUCACUCAAAGGAUGUUUCUGACACAGUAACCGUUCGGUUCAUUGAUCUUCAAUCAUAUGAAUGUGGUGUUAUCGAGACUUUUGGAAAACUUCCGGUAGCUCGAGGUGGACAAUCUGUCACCCUUGUUGGAUCUAAACUCAUAAUGUUCGGUGGAGAAGACCAGCAUAGACGUCUGCUAAAUGAUAUUAGUGUUCUUGAUCUAGAGACAAUGACUUGGAGUACUGUUGAGACCAUGCAGACGUCCCCAGCUCCUAGGUUUGAUCAUACAGCUGCACUCCAUGCCGAUCGCUACCUUCUGAUUCUGGGUGGAUGUUCUCAUUCAAUUUUUUUCAACGAUCUUCAUGUCCUUGACUUGGAAACGAUGGAAUGGUCUCAACCACAACUUCAGGGGGAUCUGGUUAGUCCAAGAGCUGGCCAUGCUGGUGUUACUAUAGGUGACAACUGGUAUAUUGUUGGUGGUGGA
rnacentral:misc_RNA from 1 species